rnacentral:rRNA from 1 species
GACGAACGCUGGCGGCGUGCCUAAUACAUGCAAGUAGAACGCCGAAGGAGGAGCUUGCUUCUCUGGAUGAGUUGCGAACGGGUGAGUAACGCGUAGGUAACCUACCUGGUAGCGGGGGAUAACUAUUGAAACGAUAGCUAAUACCGCAUAAGAGUAGAUGUCGCAUGACAUUUGCUUGAAAGGUGCAAUUGCAUCACUACCAGAUGGACCUGCGUUGUAUUAGCUAGUUGGUGAGGUAACGGCUCACCAAGGCAACGAUACAUAGCCGACCUGAGAGGGUGAUCGGCCACACUGGGACUGAGACACGGCCCAGACUCCUACGGGAGGCAGCAGUAGGGAAUCUUCGGCAAUGGACGGAAGUCUGACCGAGCAACGCCGCGUGAGUGAAGAAGGUUUUCGGAUCGUAAAGCUCUGUUGUAAGAGAAGAACGAGUGUGAGAAGUGGAAAGUCCCACACUGUGACGGAUCUU